UACGUAGGGGGCAAGCGUUGUUCGGAUUCAUUGGGCGUAAAGGGUGCGUAGGCGGCGCGGUAAGUCGGGUGUGAAAACUCGGGGCUUAACUCCGGGCCUGCAGUGGGUACGGGCAGACUAGAGUGCGGUAGGGGAGACUGGAAUUCCUGGUGUAGCGGUGAAAUGCGCAGAUAUCAGGAGGAACACCGGUGGCGAAGGCGGGUCUCUGGGCCGUAACUGACGCUGAGGAGCGAAAGCGUGGGGAGCGAACAGG
rnacentral:rRNA from 1 species